GUUCUGUCAGCUGACCUCUGCAGAAGGGAAUUGCUAACCGCUGCCUUGCUCCUUAGCUGACAAAUGAAUGAUCGCAGCUCCAUCUGUUUUCACUAUGGCUGCCUCUAGCCCAGGUGCUCAGACAGAGAGCCUGGUGUGACAUCUUAGAUCAAGAUGAAUUGGCACAAACUCCUGAUCCAAGAUUGUUUUAUACCAUUUAAUUUAGUUUCUUCCCCUGCUUGGAUGAGCACAGCUCUGGUUAUGGAUUUCUAUUCUAAUGUACUGAAGCAGGCCCUGAAAGAAGCCAAUGAAGCAGCUGCUGGAGCAAGGGACUGCAGGGAUACUGAUCAAUAGGCAAGGCAUUGACCCCAGCCGUUCAGCCUCUGCAACGGCCACUGCUUGAAGCGGGAGGGGGCACAGAAGCACACAUGGGCUGCUUCCAGUAGGAAAUUAAACAACAGGGGGCAUUUGAGACAUGCCUCCAUUUAAUCAUGCUAAGGGGUGACAUGGAGAUCCAUUUUCUUGACAGGACGGUUGAUCACCCUAUCACAGUAAGAAAAUUAAUACCUUCAACUAGCCCUGUGUGGAAAAGAGAAGCUAUAU
rnacentral:antisense_RNA from 1 species